GGUAGAGUUAAGGAACACGAUCUCCGUGUAUAAAAAGUCCGUUAAAAUGUGCUAAAUAAGGGUGGCGCUACAGUAGCCAGUGGGUAAAUUUUAAAGAGAGCGAUAAAUU